UUACAACAGCCGUUGUUUCUUGGAUCUCUUCUUGGAUAACUGUGGUAAUUCUAGAGCUAAUACAUGCAACUAAUCCCCGAUCGCAAGUGACGGGAGCACUUAUUAGACCAAAGCCAUCCGGCUUCGGCCGUACUUUGGUGACUCUGGAUAACAUCGCAGAUCGCAUGGGCUCGUCCCGGCGACAAAUCUUUCAAGUGUCUGCCUUAUCAACUUUCGAUGGUAGUUUCUGUGACUACCAUGGUUGUGACGGGUAACGGAGGAUCAGGGUCUGACUCCGGAGAGGGAGCCUGAGAAACGGCUACCACUUCUAAGGAAGGCAGCAGGCGCGCAAAUUACCCAUUCUCAGAACGAGGAGGUAGUGAAGAAAAAUACCAAGAGGAGGCUCAUUGAGUUUCCUCAUUGGAAUGAGUACAAUCUAAAUCUUUUAACGAGGAUCUAGUGGAGGGCAAGUCUGGUGCCAGCAGCCGCGGUAAUUCCAGCUCCGCAAGUGUAUUCCUAUACUGUUGCGGUUAAAAAGCUCGUAGUUGGAUCUGAGUGCUUAGCGCCUGGUGCAGUUCUGCUGUUACUGGGUGCGGCACAUGAUUAGUCAAUUGGUUGCUGUUGUUGCCUUCACGGGUGAUGGCAGUGGACUGUUGACAAGUUUACUUUGAACAAAUCAGAGUGCUCAAUACAGGCGUUUCGCUUGAAUGGUUGUGCAUGG
rnacentral:rRNA from 1 species